rnacentral:rRNA from 1 species
UACGAAGGGGGCUAGCGUUGCUCGGAAUCACUGGGCGUAAAGGGUGCGUAGGCGGGUUUUUAAGUCAGAGGUGAAAUCCUGGAGCUCAACUCCAGAACUGCCUUUGAUACUGAGAAUCUUGAGUUCGGGAGAGGUGAGUGGAACUGCGAGUGUAGAGGUGAAAUUCGUAGAUAUUAGGAAGAACACCAGUGGCGAAGGCGGCUCACUGGCCCGGUACUGACGCUGAGGCGCGACAGCGUGGGGAGCAAACAGG